CCUACGGGUGGCAGCAGUGGGGAAUAUUGGGCAAUGGGCGCAAGCCUGACCCAGCAACACCGCGUGAAGGAAGAAGGCUUUCGGGUUGUAAACUUCUUUUCUCAGGGACGAAGCAAGUGACGGUACCUGAGGAAUAAGCCACGGCUAACUACGUGCCAGCAGCCGCGGUAAUACGUAGGUGGCAAGCGUUAUCCGGAUUUACUGGGUGUAAAGGGCGUGUAGGCGGGAAAGCAAGUCAGAUGUGAAAACCAUGGGCUCAACCUGUGGCCUGCAUUUGAAACUGUAGUUCUUGAGUGAUGGAGAGGCAGGCGGAAUUCCGUGUGUAGCGGUGAAAUGCGUAGAUAUACGGAGGAGCACCAGUGGCGAAGGCGGCCUGCUGGACAUUAACUGACGCUGAGGCGCGAAAGCGUGGGGAGCAAACAGGAUUAGAUACCCGUGUAGUC
rnacentral:rRNA from 1 species